GGGGCUGUAGGUCAGUGGUAGAGCACUUGCCUAGCAAGCAUGAGGCCCUGGGUUCAAUCCCCAGUACCA
rnacentral:tRNA from 1 species